AGCGAUCUUGGCGCAGUGAGUCUUUUCUUCUCUGUCGUCCACUAUUGAUUUUGUGUGGAAAAUGUAUGUAUUAUUGAUAUUACAAGUUGAUACAACUACAUUGAUCUAAUGACUAUCACAGAAUAAGAGAGUAAAAGGCAUUUAGACUAUAGGUUCGAUAUGAAAAGAUUGAGAUCCCCUUUUCCUUUUCCUUGGUUAUCCUUUUAUAGGUGAUGGGGGGUGGAUCAUAACAGCGACGUGAUUUCCAGCGAGUACCAAAGUUAGCAUUUAUUGCUCUGAUAUCCUUUAGUUUCGGUUUUACCAUGUCAGCAGAGCAUGCGCUGUCCGUGUAGCUUGGGAUGGGGCUACCUCCUUCGUGGACCAAUUGUCUUCUUCCAGAAAUUUUUGAAACUUGCCUCUAACAAUAGCCCCUUGGCAGCCCAACAUGUCUCAUGUUGUCAGAUAGGUUGGGUAUUGGUUGUGACUGGUGUGGGAUAUUUGAGACUGCUGGUUUAUAAAUUUCAAAACCCGAUUCAAGAUUUUGGUUUGUUAAUUAAUUACGAGAUUUGGUUGAUGUAAAUCAAGAUCUUUGAUUUUUCCUCUUUGGAAAGUUUGAAUCACCCGUGGCGUGACAAUCUUUUCUUUUUGCGGUUUCUAAUUUUUGGAUAUAAAUGCGCGUCUUGCUUUCUAAUCUCUCACUUUUGCUAUUUGGGAGAAACUCUAAGUUGUCUCUGUAUAUACUCUUCUUUCGACAUGGUGUGUCCCAGUGUUGUCUUCCCCAACCUUGCCAUGUCGGCUGAGGCCGCUAGGAAAAGGGAGGAGAAAGCGAAGGCUACAUUGGACCCGACUACUCAUUGGGCUGCUCCGGAGGUGGUGAAUCGAGAGGCUGUUCCCAAAAUAUUGGGGAUAAGGCCAUUUCUACGAAGGCAACCAAGCCUAACUCUCCUGCUAGAACCAUAGCUCAUGAGGCUACCAUAUAGAGUUUUUUUGAGUCGCUAAGGCUGAUGAGCCUACUCAAAUGCCUCUUACACCUACUGUGAUGCUUUCUCCACCUCCCAUAUGUCCAUAUGUUCUAUCUCGGAGUCUGUAGUGCGAGAAUCUGCUACAUGGGCCUCUCAUCGUUCUUCCGAGAGACAAGAUCUGAGGUCGGUUUCAGACCCUAUAUCUUCAAGGGAUUUCCCAAGGUCUUUGAGGGUGCCUUCGUCCUCUAAUAGAGAUCGUCAUCAGCUUUUGGAGAUUGGCUCCGAGAAAUGUUCUGCUCCUGGCUCCGAGGUCGAGAUCUUUUUGUCUCAAAGAGGCUUUGAACGGAUGACGGAAUGAGCUCUUGGGUUCUUCUGUCGUGAUCUGCUCAGAAAGGUGCGUAAGCCAUUUCUUUUGAGUUUUCGAGCAACAUUCAUUUACCUAAUGGCAUGAAGGGUUUUAUGUGCCUUCACAACAAUAUUUGCUUGCUGUGAUCUUAACUUUCCAGGGGAGAUGAUCUCCCAUCACGACGUCUACGAGGGUGUUUACCAAUCCAACGCCGAGCAUAUGGGUUGGGUGAAGCACACCCAAUCGCUAUAUGAAAAAAAAAGAUUCAUGUUGCUAGGGGGAAGAUGGCUGCAGUCAAGAAAUACGUCCUCCAUUAUCUGGAUGCAUUGAAGGCGGAGCGGGUUGAAAACCAGGAGUUGUCUACCUACAAUGUUGCUCUGAAGGGUAAGCUCAAGCAACUAGAGACUGAGGCAAAAGCUAAAAAGGAGAGGGUCAAAGAGCUCGAGGAUUCUAAAUAUGGUAUCCGAGCUUGCAUCAAUGUCGUAAGGAGGGCUCUAUCAGACCAAGGUUGCAGCUGAGAAUUUUGACACCGAUGUCAUAAAGGAUCUAGCAGACACUCAGAGGGAAAGUAAGAAGCUCGUUAAAGAGCUCAUAAGGAGGAGUUCCAGAGGCUGAAUGAAUCAAGAUCCAGAAGGUUUAGAAAAAAAGGCUUGUCAAGCUGCAGCGGUGAAAUACCAGUCGCAUUUUGAUCAGAUAUGUGAGCUUUGGCCGAUUCUAAGAUCGUAAAGGAGAAUGCCUUGUUGAUGUCUCAGGCGGCUAGUCAGUCAGGUUUGAUCGAUAAGAUGACACAAAGGGGACUCGUGGGUCAUGUGGCAGAUCAGGAGAUAUGGGUGCAGUCUCUCAAGAAUUUCUAAGUGAAGAUCGACGAGAUAGACAUCGUCCAACUAGAUCCAUAAAAGGAUCUAAGCGUCUCACCCGUUUCUGAUGUCUCCAGCUGAAAUAGCCUCCCUUUGGGGCCAAUUCCUGAGCUAAAUCCUAUCGAUGAUUAAGAGGUCAGGAAUUAGACCGUCAUGUCAGAAACUGUGACCAUUCCAGGAUGGUCGAGUUGAGGAUCCUCCUGCUGACCAGAAGAAGACCGAUGCAACAACCGCUGAGGAGCCUCUGGAUAUAGAUCAGUUUGACUCGAAACUCGUCUGUAACUCCGUUGUGGAUGUUUCGGGCGCUGCCACAACCAAUCGGGCUCAAGAAUAGGCCUUUUUUGUUUUUCUUUAUGUUGAAUAUUUUGAACCAGUGAGAGUUUAAAUCCACGAACGUGCCUCAGAAGGCUUUAUCUAAAUAAUUUUAUUUUCCUUA